AUGGUAGGAUAGAGGCCUACCAUGGUAGUAACGGGCAACGGGGUGUUAGGGCACGACACCGGAGAGGGAGCCUGAGAAACGGCUACCACAUCCAAGGAUGGCAGCAGGCGCGCAAAUUACCCAAUCCCGACACGGGGAGGUAGUGACAAUAAAUAACAAUACGGGGUUCUUUAGGAUCUCGUAAUUGGAAUGAGUACAAUUUAAAUCUCUUAACGAGGAACAAUUGGAGGGCAAGUCUGGUGCCAGCAGCCGCGGUAAUUCCAGCUCCAAUAGCGUAUAUUAAAGUUGUUGCAGUUAAAAAGCUCGUAGUUGAAUUUCGGGGUCAGUAGGUCGGUCGUGCCACUGGUAUGAACUGGUUUUACUGAUUCCUCCCUCUUGAAGAACUGUAAUGCCAUUAAUUUGGUGUUGCAGGGAAUCAGGACUGUUACUUUGAAAAAAUUAGAGUGUUUAAAGCAGGCUUUAGCUUGAAUACAUUAGCAUGGAAUAAUGAAAUAGGACGUUUGAUCCUAUUUUGUUGGUUUCUAGGAUUGACGUAAUGAUUAAUAGGGAUAGUUGGGGGCAUUAGUAUUCAAUUGUCAGAGGUGAAAUUCUUGGAUUUAUUGAAGACUAACUACUGCGAAAGCAUUUGCCAAGGAUGUUUUCAUUAAUCAAGAACGAAAGUUAGGGGAUCGAAGACGAUCAGAUACCGUCGUAGUCUUAACCAUAAACUGUGCCGACUAGGGAUCGGAUGAUGUUAAUUUUUUAAUGACUCAUUCGGCGCCUUACGGGAAACCAAA
rnacentral:rRNA from 1 species